UGGGGGAUAUUGCACAAUGGGCGAAAGCCUGAUGCAGCAACGCCGCGUGAGGGAAGACGGUUUUCGGAUUGUAAACCUCUGUCUUCGGUGAAGAAAAAAAUGACGGUAGCCGAGGAGGAAGCCACGGCUAACUACGUGCCAGCAGCCGCGGUAAUACGUAGGUGGCGAGCGUUGUCCGGAAUUACUGGGUGUAAAGGGAGCGCAGGCGGGGAGACAAGUCAGCUGUGAAAACUAUGGGCUUAACCCAUAAACUGCAGUUGAAACUGUUUUUCUUGAGUGGAGUAGAGGUAGGCGGAAUUCCGAGUGUAGCGGUGAAAUGCGUAGAUAUUGGAGGAACACCAGUGGCGAAGGCGGCCUACUGGGCUCUAACUGACGCUGAGGCUCGAAAGCGUGGGGAUCAAACA
rnacentral:rRNA from 1 species